GUUUCUUUGUCUUAUGUCACCUGCUAUUUUCUGCCCAUUUGCAUCACGUUUACUCAACUUAACAUUGGCUUAACCUACACAUUACGCUAAGUGAGCUCAUCUGUGUAGCUUAUUAGGCGAUUCAUUAUAGUGUAUUACGAUGUCAUGUUAAAUUGAUCUGUAUUAUUGGUCUACAUCAAACAAUUCUGGAGGUUUUCAUGUGUUGGCUCUCCAAUUUCUGCAUGUUACGACUUCGGGGGAAAAAAAUCUGUUUUGAAGUGGAUACAUUCUCAAGUGUUUGUCACACACAGGAAACCAGUUCAGUGCUUUUAGCUUAAUGUGAUCUGCUACUUGCUUUGAAGGAAUAAUGAAAACAUCAAGAUGCACUAAAUCAGCUGUAGAAUCACAUCACAUGGCAUUUUGGAAUGGUGCAGUCCAUGUUCAGCUCUUGGGUUUUGUUUGUGUCCUGUUAUGAAUAGAAAGCAGUGGAGAAAGCCUGGAUAACCUUGGAUUCCAAAGCCUUACCGGCCAAGAUGAUGCCAUUUUCAGAACAGCUGCCAUUGCCAAAGUUCACCAAGCGGUGAAUGAGGUUCACAAAUUACCGAAAGCAGAGGAAAAACAAUAUUACAAGGAGAGUACUUACCAAUGGCUCCACACACAAGCAGUUCAUCCCAACACAGACUCCGCAGGCACAGGACGAAACAGAAGUGCCAUCACCUACAAGAGUCAAUUCAGCUCCGAUCCGAAAUGAACGCAUCUCGUUCGGGGACAACCCAGUACUAUACAGCGGAAGCUGGGGUGGAGGAAAGAAGAGAGCCAAAUUGAACAAGUAAAAAGAUAACUACA